ensembl:lncRNA
ACAGUUAACAAUAAAUACAUAAAUAAACAUAUAAAUAAAUAUUACUAUAAGACUCAGUUAUGAGCACUUGAAAGAGUAAUAAAAAGUAGGGAAGACCCAGUCCUUAGUCUCAAGAAAUUUAACAAUCAGCAUGACAAUAAAAAAUGGAAAACAGGGAGUUCCCAUUGUGGCUCAGCAGUAACAAACCCAACUAGUAUCAUAUGAAGAUGCAGGUUGGAUCACUGAUCCUGCUCAUGGGUUAAGGAUCCGGUGUUGCCGUAAACUGCGGCAGGUCCCAUGCAUGGCUCAGAUCCUGCUUUGCUGUGGCUGUGGCAUAGCCUAGUAGCUAUAGCUUCGAUUCAAACCCUACCCUAGGAACUUCCAUAUGCCCCAGGUGCGGCCCUAAAAAGCAAAUUAAAUAAAUAUAUAAAUAAAUAAAAAUGGAACAGAGGAGUUCCCAUUUUGGCUCAUCAGGUUAAGAACCUGACAUAGUGUCCAUGAGGAUGCAAGUUCGAUUCCUGGCCUCUCUCACUGGGUAAAGGAUCUGACAUUGCUGCAGGCUGCGGCAUAGGUUGCAGAUACAGCUCAGAUCCAGUAUUGCCCUGGCUGCUGCUGUGGCAUAGGCCUGCAGUAAUCCCUAGCCUGGAACUUCCACAUGUCACAGGUACAGCCAUAAAAAAGGAAAAAAAUAAAAGGAAUGUAAAUAACUAAUCUAGCUAAAUACCUUCUAUCUGUAAUAAAGAAAGGUUUAUGGAUGAAAAAAAAAGGGGGAGGACCCACAAAGGUUUCCAGUGGAGUUCACUUUAAUUCAGGAUUGUUAAGGAGAUUUUUGUAGAGAUAGAGACUCCAAAAAACUGAUGGUCCCUAGAGUCAAUACAGUCUUCCAUAACACUGCCUCCCCAAACCUAGAAUCCUCUUCCACUUUCUACCUAACAAACUCAUCUUUCAAGAAUCUGUUCAACUAUCAGUGAUGUUAUUUACUUAUGGGGCCUCCAUGACCUAGUCAAACACUGCUGGAUAGUUUCUGAACAUAUGCCUAUUUUCACACUUCUCACAGCGCAUUACAUUUAUUUGUAUGUAUGCAGUUAUGACCUUUUUCAGAAAAAAAGAGCCUCACUUCAUUUAUUAUCCUAUGACCCAGCAACUGGCAGAUAAUACCCUAUGAUAGCUUUAUUUUGUUUAUGUCUGUUUUUAUUUGAACUUAUAGGUAUAUAAAUGAGGAGUUCCCAGUCAUGGUGCAGUGGAAAUGAACCCAACUAGGAACCAUGAGUUUGAGGUUUCCAUUCCUGGCCUUGCUCAGUGGGUUAAGGAUCCUGCAUUGCUGUGGCUGUGGUACAGGCUGGCAGCUGUAGCUCCAAUUUGACCCCUGACCUGGGAACCUCCAUAUGUCAUGCGGGCAGCCCUAAAAAUCAAAAUAAGUAAACAAAUAAAUAAGUAAAGGUGACAUACUGGCUAGACCUGGGAUGAAAAUAAUUUUAUAGAGAGAACUUGGCAGAAUAGGAGUAUAUCCCAGGUGAAGGCUAAAGACACAGAAAAGAGAAAAUUAAGGCAGUUUACGUAAAUCAAGUUCUUGGAAUGGUUUGAGAUUGAAAAGGGAAGCUGGACCUGGUAUAAAAACUGUGGAAAAGCACAGGUGUAAAUCCAGAGGCAAUUUGUUGUUUAUAAGUAACAGUAAGAAAAACAAGGUCAAGCUCUAUGCUCAAUUAAAUCUCUCCUUUUUUACCCCCUUCCAGUCUUAAAAUACUUGCUGUGUUCAUAGAAUUUCUUAUCUCCAGAGGGAGAUUAGGCUGCCUGAACCACACCAUUAAAGGUAGUUUAUAAAGAAAUACAAUUCAGAUAGAUGAGAAUUCUCUGCUUAGCAAGGGAUUUAGAGUCAUGGGGCUGCUUGCUGCCUCUGGUAGCCUUCUAUAAAGAUUUUUUCCAAAAAUAGUCAAUAUCAAAGGUCACACAUUUUAAAAGUCACUUGGCAUUAGAAGCCUGAGGGGAAAAUGCCUAGGAGAAAAUGUUUUGGCAAGCUUUUAAAGCCUUUCAUUGAGCUGGCAACAAGACAGACCAUGCUGGCCUCCCAAGCAAGCAGAGCAGAUGUGUCAUUUCAGAGGUGGUAGAAAGCCUUCCCAUCCCUAAACAUCACUCUCACCUGCCUCUGUUUCAAGAGCAGAGAUUCAUUCCUUAGUGUCAAGGGCCCAAGUUCUGUUGAAAUACACAAACUUCUGAAAGGAAGGGGAGGAGGAGUAAAAUCAACACAUAGUGAAUGACAACAAACUGCUUGACAAUAAUAUUUCUUAUAUAUUUUGUCACUAAAUCUAAUUAUCUGAUUUACAGAGGAAAAAAAUUCUAGCUUAGAGAAGUUAAACUACUUGCCAAAAGUCAGAGACAAGUGUGGAGUUAGAAUUUAACCUUAGAUCAGACUCAAAACUGCUUUUAUGCUAUUAAUUUUCAGAGUUAUUUCUCAUUUUUUUAAGUCUCAGUAUAUCAGUCCUGAACUUUCCAAUUGAUCACCAGAUGGACGCAUGAUUUGGUAAGGAAAAGAACAGAAAGCAUUUGAGGGCACUGCAUUUGACUUAAGGAAGAGAGAUUAUGAAAUGCUGAAAAAAAAAGUGAGAGGGAAAAAAAGUUUUCACAACUUAACAGUUUGAUAGUUAUUUAAGACCAGUCUCUAGAGAAAUCAGCUUGCCUCUACUACAAGAGAAUUUUAUUAGACUCAACCAUAUAUUUGCAUAUAUGUUUUGUGGGGGAUAAAAAAUAAUGUUGCCUCUACCUUCCUUGGUUCUUGGCUGAGAUACCUCCUAUAAGAACAGAAGUAAAACAAUCAGAAGUUCAGUAACAUCUAACCUCCUGUAUACACGGGAGAAACUCGAAACUCAGGAAAACUGAGGUUCUCCAUGGAAUAUCCCAGGCUAUCACCUUAAAUAUCAUAUUCAGCCAAAGGCAAAAGAAAGUGUUAUGGGUUGGGAAGCCACAUAUGGGAGAUUACCAGGAAAGCAGAGUAAACAAGGGGCAAGGUUGUUAUGCAGACUGAAGUCUUGCCUUCUCUUGAUAAAGAGUUUCUAGAGACUGUAUCAUCCCCUUCUUCCUGGUACAGUGAGGGAGAAACCUUUACUAAAGGAGAUUGUCAUUAUACAUGUAAAUGUCCUACAAAAGGGUAACAUCUACGGGUUUUCAAAGUUAGGCCCACUUAUUUCAGAGCUAUGUUUGCUGUUUCUUAAAAAUAACCAGCUUAAAAUAACCCUUAUGACAAAGAGGCAUAUUUUGGCAUGGCAUAUUCUGUCCCUCCAGUUUUAAUAAAUUUACUCAUUUCUCAGCAUAGAAAAAUACUACCUAUGCAAGGUUUUCUGUAGAGAUAAUAUGCUACUAUUAUAAUUCAAAACAUUAAAUCACAAUUAGUUGAGAUACACAAGUAUAUAAAGAAAUAUACAUAAAAGGCAUAAUAUAUAUAUAUAUGUAUCUUCUAAGAGUUAUAACUUUUCAAAUUAUUAAAUUAAAAAAAGGCUUUUUCCAUCCUUACAUAUACCACCUUUUGUUUGAUGGAACAGAAAUAAAGUGAUUGGUAAUAAAUGAGAAGUAACAUAAUAAACUCUGCAUAAAAAUCUAGUAACACAAAGUCUAAUUCGUACAUAACGAUAGUCAAAUUCUAUUGUUUAUUAAAUAUCAGUUAAGUACUAUUAAUAUGCAUUCUGAGUUUUCAAUCCAGUAUCUCCAAACUUUCCAUUCCCUUUUCUUUCCCUGUUCUUCUUCUCUUUGCAAUUCUUAAAAUAUUGGUGUUCCUCUACAGUUUCUGUGUCUUUUUAAUGCUCUUCCCAAGCAUGUCCAUCCACGUCCAGGCUUCAACUCUGACUUACCUGAGCCUGUCUUAUCUCAAGUUCCUGCAUAGUUGAUCUCUCCAUUUGUUGAUUCUCUAUAAUAGGUGCAAUGUAAUAAAUCCAAAACAAAC